CGUCAGGACGAACGCUGGCGGCGUGCCUAAUACAUGCAAGUCGAACGGUCUUUCUAUGGAAGCUUGCUUCCACUGAGAAGAUAGUGGCGAACGGGUGAGUAACACGUGGGUAACCUGCCCAUAAGAGGGGGGAUAACAUCCGGAAACGGGUGCUAAUACCGCAUAGUUUUCUUGAUCGCAUGAUCGGGAAAGGAAAGACGGCCUUUGUGCUGUCGCUUAUGGAUGGACCCGCGGCGUAUUAGUUAGUUGGUGAGGUAACGGCUCACCAAGACGAUGAUACGUAGCCGACCUGAGAGGGUGAUCGGCCACAUUGGGACUGAGACACGGCCCAAACUCCUACGGGAGGCAGCAGUAGGGAAUCUUCCGCAAUGGACGAAAGUCUGACGGAGCAACGCCGCGUGAGUGAAGGUAAAGGGUUUUCGGAUCGUAAAACUCUGUUGUCAGAGAAGAACAAGUUGGAGAGUAACUGCUCCAGCCUUGACGGUAUCUGACCAGAAAGCCACGGCUAACUACGUGCCAGCCGCUGC
rnacentral:rRNA from 1 species